CCUACGGGAGGCAGCAGUGAGGAAUCUUGGUCAAUGGACGGAAGUCUGAACCAGCCAUGCCGCGUGCAGGAAGACGGCUCUAUGAGUUGUAAACUGCUUUUGUACAAGGGUAAACCUGAAUACGUGUAUUCAGCUGAAAGUACUGUACGAAUAAGGAUCGGCUAACUCCGUGCCAGCAGCCGCGGUAAUACGGAGGAUCCAAGCGUUAUCCGGAUUUAUUGGGUUUAAAGGGUGCGUAGGCGGAUUGAUAUGUUAGAGGUGAAAUGUCCGAUCUUAACUCGGGAACUGCCUCUAAUACUGUUGAGCUAGAGAGUAGAUGCGGUAGGCGGAAUGUAUAGUGUAGCAGUGAAAUGCUUAGAGAUCAUACAGAACACCGAUUGCGAAGGCAGCUUACCAAUCUAUAUCUGACGUUGAGGCACGAAAGCGUGGGGAGCAAACAGGAUUAGAUACCCGAGUAGUC
rnacentral:rRNA from 1 species